GGUCUGUCCCGGAGCUGCCAGGAGCCACGUUUGCUGCAAGCCUGGCUACAUUGUCCCCGUGUUCCCGUGUGUGUGUGUGUGUGUGUGUGUGUGUGUGUGUGUGUGUGUGCAUGUGUUCUGGGGACUGAUUCCGGAGCCUUUACACUGAGCUACAUCCCAAACUCUUGUUAUUUUAUUGGGCCUCAGGGCCUCCAGAGAUCCCAAGUCUGGCCUCCCCCUAUCCUCCCUUCUGCAGGGGACCCUCUGGGCCUGGGGAAGGGCUGGCACAGCACCCCAAGGCCUGCGUGGUGGCCCAGCUCCAGCUCAGAGACCUGAGGAGAGAGGCCCACGCUUCUCCCUGGCUCCCACUCCCCAGGCAGGACCACAGGUGCGAGGUCGACCUGUCCAGCCUGGGGCGUCUCGUACCCCACAGUCACAGUCUGUGCUUGGACAUCAGUGCACCCCAGAACCAGAGCCGGCUGUGCCCGAUCCCCACAGAAAGGACGCCAGGGAAGCUAAAUCAGGGACAUCAAGAGCAUCCAGGCGGCACCUGCAGCUGAGGC
rnacentral:lncRNA from 1 species